UACCAUGCGCGCAGUUGGCUGGCUGGCUGGCCGGUUAUUUUGCUUUGGAAGGGAUCACUGAUGUCUCAAACCACACAUACGAAGUGCUGGGUUUGAGUUGAAUCCUCGACUGGUUUAACUGAUGAGCGAUUUGGAAAGCUCCAUCACACUGCCUCGUUGGCACUACACGGCUGCGUCUCGGACGGCACCGGCCGAUGAAGCCACCGGUGGUGGCGUCUUGGCGCACGGGCGUGCUGACACUGGCAACGGGUGAUCGGUGAUCCACUGUAAGAGAAGUCCGUGGGGACCCCGCCCGUCAGCGAAGGCUCCCAGACCAGAGCCCUCUGACUCACCUUUCCCCCGUAUCGUUGCGGAGGCUGAAGCAAACCCCACCUCCUCCCCAAUCUUCUCACCCCUCGUCAGGCAGGCCAUCACCGCCGCGGCGACCACCGGGAAGCGGAGCAGCGCGGCGCGAUGACACGUCCAGGCUAAAGCCUAUUAUUGACGUCUACAACAUUGCCUUGGAUGACAUCAGAAGGAGAUAUCCUUGGAAGUAGAAAGAGGGGGUGUUUCUAGAAGGAUUCGGUUUGGUGUGGUGUGCUAAUUCCUGAUGAUUGUGCCUCCUGUUGAUGUCUGGAUGAAUUACUCAAGUGGCUGACAGACAAGAUGAGGAUAUGGCAAAAUUCUGGUCGUAGUCGCCGAUAGACAGGAAUGACAGGAGUUCUGCCUUAAUUAUUAUUAAGAAGAAGAUGAUUUACAAAAAUUACAGGAAGAAACCCAAAAACUGUCCACGGUUCAAAACCCCCGAUCCGACCAAAGGACCCGAGAAAGCACCAAAGCAAGAACAGCCACCCUCAACUCCCUAAAGCUUGCCUCCUGAGGUUAACGUCCUCAAUUGUAAGGUUUGGAGUUUUGCUCGGCCGGCUGCCUCCAUAUGUUCUGAAGAAUUCGGCGGUUUCUUUCUUUCUAGACAUUUCACAGGAUGUAAAUGAGCAGACCGUUUAGAUCCUGACGAUGGGUUUUAGGCGUUGCCUUGAAGAUGUUGUGCCACCAGACAUUCAACGCAGGGGAGUUCGUCGAUGUAACGUGCGGAGGCGGAGGACAGCGGAAGGCGGAGAGAACUUGUGACUGGACCUGCUUGGUGUAUGUGCACUCGAGGCUGAGGUGUAAGACCGUCUCAGGAUUAGUUUGGCAAGUUGUAUUAUUCAUGAGCUGUAUUGUUGGCGAUCACAUGUUACCUAAUUAGUCACUGCUGUAUCAGGAAUAGCGAAAUGGACAAAUGAUGACGUUUAUGGUGAUAACUGAUUGCAAGGGUAAUGCAGUGCAAGUGGAUU